rnacentral:rRNA from 1 species
UACGGAGGGUGCGAGCGUUGUCCGGAAUUAUUGGGCGUAAAGGGCUCGUAGGCGGUCUGUUGCGUCAGGAGUGAAAACUUGGGGCUCAACCCCAAGCUUGCGGUCGAUACGGGCAGGCUAGAGUUCGGUAGGGGAGACUGGAAUUCCUGGUGUAGCGGUGAAAUGCGCAGAUAUCAGGAGGAACACCAAUGGCGAAGGCAGCUCGCUGGGACGGUACUGACGCUGAGGCGCGAAAGCGUGGGGAGCAAACAGG